AAUAAGAUUCCCCAUGACUCCAUGACGUAAACGCAUCACGUCAGCUGGUUUUUGUUUUGCUCAAACGGAACACUGCGCGUGUCAGCAACUGGACGCUCAAUAAUAAUAACCUUAAAAACAAUAAUUAGUUGCCAAACAUGUAAUUUUCUUUGAAAGCAAAACUGCCACAAUUUAUGGACAUAUACUAGCGUCACUGCGGGAUGAUCGAACCGAUCGCAGAGCUCCGAACCGGAGAGAAGGUGCGAAGAUCCGGUUCUUCUCCAGACAGGCAGAGUUCUGGUUCUGAUGGAUCUCCGGAGCUCCAGAGGCUCUCGUGCGCGUCCUUCAACCAGGACACAACGUCUUUGGCUGUUGGUGGUCAGAAUGGCUACAGGCUUUUCUCUCUGUCCUCUGUUGACAGAAUGGAUUGCAUUCAUCAAGGAGUGUGUGAAAACUGUGUGUCUGUGUGGUCAGUGGAGAGCCCUGAUGUGUGUGUGGCGGAGCGGCUCUUCUCCAGCAGUCUGAUGGUGGUCGUGAGCAGAUCUGCUCCGUUCAGGAUGAACAUCUAUCACUUCAAGAAGGGCACAGAGAUCUGUAACUACAGCUACUCCAGCAACAUCCUCGCGGUCAAGCUCAACCGUCAGAGACUCGUAGUGUGUUUGGAGGAGGCCCUGUACAUCCAUAAUAUCAAGGACAUGAAGCUGCUGAAGUCUCUUCUCAACACGCCACCGAACCCCACAGGUCUGUGCGCAUUAUCUGUCAAUCUUUCCAACUCAUACCUGGCGUAUCCUGGGAGCGUCACCGCGGGAGAGAUCACUCUGUAUGAUGCUGUGAAUCUGAAUGAGGUGACUGUGAUCUCCGCCCAUGCCAGUCAUGUGGCCGCCAUCUCAUUCAACGCUUCAGGAACCAGUCUGGCCACUGCUUCUGAAAAAGGCACUGUUAUACGAGUCUUCAGCGUUCCUGACGGAGACAAACUGUUUGAAUUCCGCAGAGGGAUGAAGAGGUAUGUGAGCAUCAGUUCCUUGUCGUUCAGUGCCGACGCACAGUUUCUCUGUGCCUCCAGUAACACAGAGACUGUUCAUAUCUUCAGACUGGAGCAUCACAGACCCAGUCAGGAGUCUCCAUCAUGGUCUGGAUACAUGGGGAAGAUGUUUUCUGCCGCCAGCACUUACCUUCCCUCUCAGGUGUCGGACAUGAUGCAUCAGGACCGAGCGUUUGCUACCGUCCGCCUCGCCGCGGCAGGCAUGAAGAAUAUAUCCGCUCUCUCCACGAUCCAGAAGGUUCCACGUCUUCUGGUGGCUUCAUUAGAUGGUCAUCUCUACAUCUACAAUAUAGAUCCGCAGGAAGGAGGAGACUGUCCUUUAGUCAAGAAGCACAGAGACGACAACGAAGUCAAAACGUUCCCGUUCACACGGAUCCUCGAAAACGACUAAAAUCACUGUAUUCUGCUGCCUGGCCAGUAGAUGGCGAUGUCACUUUAUAAAGAAUCACCAAGCACCUAUAGACUGAACACGUAACACGCAUGUGCAUGAUGUUACCGUUUUCACAAAUUUGCAGUUUUGUAGUUUUCACGGAGACGAUAACAGUGUCGUUUUCAAAAACUUGCGCUUUGAAACCCGUUUUCAAAAGUCUGCAUUUUCAGGCCCCCAAAAUGCAGUUAUCAUGUAAAUGAACUUAUAAAAGUUUAAUAAAAUGUUGUGUGUACACAGUAAUUUAAGCAAAGGAAUGUGAUUGUGUGAAACUCGUGACUGGAUACGUUAGGCUCAUUUAAAAUCAGAUUCACGUGUAAAUAUAUUCAUGCCUUUGAUUGUGUCUUAAGCUUUUGAACCUUGAGUAGCUGAUGGUCAAAUCUCUAGAUAAUUUUGCAUUUUAUUCGUCCAAUAGACUGUACGAGAGUGCUGAUGAAGGUCCAGCGGCGUCGGAGCUCGAGGUCGGAAGUCCAUCCUACGCAGCAACUGUUGCCACGAGCAGGAAUCAGGACUCUCCGUCCUCCAGCUCCCUCACGGGCUACUCUGAGGAUGGAGGAGCGAAGA